rnacentral:tRNA from 2 species
GCCGCAUUAGUGUAGUUGGUUAACACGCAAGAUUCUCAAUCUUGAGACGACGGGUUCGAGCCCCGUAUGCGGUAC